rnacentral:misc_RNA from 1 species
GAGAGGGGGAAGGCGGUUGAAGAGGAAAGACGAUGAGUGAUAUUUUAGUAUUAAGUCUUUAAGGGUAUUAGAAAAUAGGAUAAAUAGGAGAUUUAAUCACAACCGUAAGAUUAAUUUAGAUAAGCGUCUAGGAUUUGAUCUAAGAUUUAUUUUAAAGAUGGAUGGAUGAGAUUAAAAGAUGAGGUCUUGAAAUUAGAUUGAAAAAGAUAUGGAAUGGCUAAAAAUGCAAUGAGAUUGGCUAGAAUUGAAAUGCGAGGGUGGCUGUGAUUGAAAUAAAAUUGGGAUUGGAGUGUAUUACCUUAACAUGGUCAAGUUGAAUUUUGACUAUUGUAAGUUGUUUACUUUCCUCUGGUUUCCUAGUAGUUUAUUAGCCUUGUAUUGUUUCAUAUUUCGAGUUAGAGAAUACCAUAUUCAUGUAGGGAAGAAUAUAUUGCGAAAAUAUCGACUCGUCUGUAUCAUGUUAUUCGCCAUUAUGGUGUUACUUUAUACACUUACUGCUGGAAAUUUUGUUUGUCAUGUUAAUCAGUUUUUCUUAACCUACGUACCCUCAUCAUCUUUAACUCUUCACAGCUGUUAUUCAUUAAUAAAAUUGGUAGUAAUUUAUAAUCACACACAUAUUUUACUCUUGUGUAA